rnacentral:rRNA from 1 species
UACGAGGGGUGCAAGCGUUGCUCGGAAUUAUUGGGCGUAAAGGGUAGGUAGGUGGUCUGAUUUGUCAGGGGUGAAAGCCUUGGGCUUAACCCAAGAAGUGCCCCUGAAACGGUCAGACUGGAGUCUUGGAGAGGGUCGUGGAAUUCCCGGUGUAGCGGUGAAAUGCGUAGAGAUCGGGAGGAACACCAGUGGCGAAGGCGGCGAUCUGGGCAGACACUGACGCUGAGGUGCGAAAGCGUGGGGAGCAAACAGG